GUAGUCUAGAAGGGAGACAGGUAGUCUAGAAGGGAGACAGGUAGUCUAGAAGGGAGGCCGGUAGUCUGGAAGGGAGGCCGGUAGUCUAGAAGGGAGACAGGUAGUCUGGAAGGGAGACAGGUAGUCUGGAAGGGAGACAGGUAGUCUAGAAGGGAGACAGGUAGUCUAGAAGGGAGACAGGCAGUCUAGAAGGGAGACAGGCAGUCUAGAAGGGAGACAGGCAGUCUAGAAGGGACACUGCUAGUCAAGAAGGGAGGCAGGUAGUCUAGAAGGGAGACAGGUAGUCUAGAAGGGAGACAGGUAGUCUAGAAGGGAGACAGGUAGUCUAGAAGGGAGACAGGUAGUCAGGAAGGGAGACAGGCAGUCUAGAAGGGAGACAGGUAAACUGGAAGUCUAGAAGGGAGACAGGUAGUCUAGAAGGGAGACAGGUAAACUGGUAGUCUAGAAGGGAGACAGGCAGUCUAGAAGGGAGACAGGUAGUCUGGAAGGGAGACAGGUAGUCUAGAAGGGAGACAGGUAGUCUGGAAGGUAGACAGGUAUUCUAGAAGGGAGACAGGUAGUCUAGAAGGGAGACAGGUAGUCUGGAAUUGAGACAGGUACACUGGUAAUGUAGAAGGGAGGCCGGUAGUCUAGAAGGGAAGCCGGUAGUCUAGAAGGGAGACAGGGAGUCUGGAAGAGAGACAGGGAGUCUGGAAUGGAGACAGGGAGUCUGGAAGGGAGACAGGGAGUCUGGAAGGGAGACAGGUAGUGUAGAAGGGAGACAGGUAGUCUAAAGGGAGACAGGUAGUCUAGAAGGGACACUGGUAGUCUAGAAGAGGGACAGGUAGUCUGGAAGGGAGACAGGUAGUCUAGAAGGGAGGCCGGUAGUCUAGAAGGGACACAGGUAGUCUAGAAGGGACACAGGUAGUCUAGAAGGGAC
rnacentral:lncRNA from 1 species